rnacentral:rRNA from 1 species
CCUACGGGCGGCAGCAGUGGGGGAUAUUGCACAAUGGGGGAAACCCUGAUGCAGCGACGCCGCGUGUGGGAAGACGGUCCUCUGGAUUGUAAACCACUGUCCCCAGGGACGAAGAUGACGGUACCUGGGGAGGAAGCUCCGGCUAACUACGUGCCAGCAGCCGCGGUAAUACGUAGGGAGCGAGCGUUGUCCGGAAUUACUGGGUGUAAGGGGAGCGUAGGCGGGACUGCAAGUUGGGUGUCAAAUCUACCGGCUCAACCGGUAGCCGCACUCAAAACUGCAGUUCUUGAGUGAAGUAGAGGCAGGCGGAAUGCCUGGUGUAGCGGUGAAAUGCGUAGAUAUUAGGAGGAACACCAGUGGCGAAGGCGGCCUGCUGGGCUUUUACUGACGCUGAGGCUCGAAAGUGUGGGGAGCAAACAGGAUUAGAUACCCGUGUAGUC